CGGCCUAUCAGCUUGUUGGUGGGGUAACGGCCCACCAAGGCGACGACGGGUAGCCGGCCUGAGAGGGCGACCGGCCACACUGGGACUGAGACACGGCCCAGACUCCUACGGGAGGCAGCAGUGGGGAAUAUUGCACAAUGGGCGAAAGCCUGAUGCAGCGACGCCGCGUGAGGGAUGACGGCCUUCGGGUUGUAAACCUCUUUCAGCAGGGAAGAAGCGAAAGUGACGGUACCUGCAGAAGAAGCGCCGGGCUAACUACUGUGCCAC
rnacentral:rRNA from 1 species